rnacentral:misc_RNA from 1 species
UUUCCGUAGGUGAACCUGCGGAAGGAUCAUUAAAGUUAUAGUCCCCCGGCCCCUCCGGGCUGGAGUCUUCUAUACCACCCUUUGUUUAUUACACCUUUGUUGCUUUGGCAGGCCUGCCCUCGGGCUGCUGGCUCCGGCCGGCUCGUGCCUGCCAGAGGACCUAAACUCUGUUUGUAUAUGAAGUCUGAGUACUAUAUAAUAGUUAAAACUUUCAACAACGGAUCUCUUGGUUCUG